rnacentral:rRNA from 1 species
GACGAACGCUGGCGGCGUGCUUAACACAUGCAAGUCGAACGGAAAGGCCCUGCUUUUGUGGGGUGCUCGAGUGGCGAACGGGUGAGUAACACGUGAGUAACCUGCCCUUGACUUUGGGAUAACUUCAGGAAACUGGGGCUAAUACCGGAUAGGAGCUCCUGCUGCAUGGUGGGGGUUGGAAAGUUUCGGCGGUUGGGGAUGGACUCGCGGCUUAUCAGCUUGUUGGUGGGGUAGUGGCUUACCAAGGCUUUGACGGGUAGCCGGCCUGAGAGGGUGACCGGCCACAAUGGGACUGAGGUACGGCCCAGACUCCUACGGGAGGCAACAGUGGGGAAUAUUGCACAAUGGGCGGAAGCCUGAUGCAGCAACGCCGCGGUCGGGAUGACGGCCUUCGGGUUGUAAACCGCUUUCGCCUGUGACGAAGCGUGAGUGACGGUAAUGGGUAAAGAAGCACCGGCUAACUACGUG